rnacentral:lncRNA from 1 species
UGAUAAGUUACAUCAUUGGUUCUAGUUGUAGUCCACUUCGUUUACUCAUCAUAAGUAGAGACAUUUGGCCUGGGCUCAAAAUCUCCCUUUGCAAAGUCAUUUCUUUCCUUAGCAUAGAUGUCAUCAUUUUCAUAAGCUGAAACAUUAGGUCUUGGUUCAAAAUCUUUUAUGGUUUUGCUUUUUUCCUUCACAUUAACCUUAUUAUCACCAUAAGCUGAAACAUUGGGUCUUGGUUCAAAAUCUUUCAUGGCUUUGCUUUUUUCUUUCACAUCAACUUCAUUAUCACCAUAAGUUGAAACAUUGGGUCUUGGUUCAAAAUCUUGCAUGGCUUUGUUUUUUUCUCUCAUAUCAACCUCAUUGUCACCAUAAGCUGAAACAUUAGGUCUUGGUUCAAAAUCUUUCAUGGUUUUGCUUUUUUCUUUCACAUCAACUUCAUUAUCACCAUAAGCUGAAACAUUAGGUCUUGGUUCAAAAUCUUUCAUGGCUUUAUUUUUUUCCCUCACAUCAACCUCAUUGUUACCAUAGACUGAAACAUUAGGUCUUGGUUCAAAAUCUUCCAUACCUUUUUUUUCCAUAUUUUUUUUCUUUUCCAUGCAAUCAAUAUCAUUGUGAUCGGGACUUGCUUCAAGAUUUUUCACAACUUUCUUCUUUGACUUAACAUCAAUGUCAUGGUUUCUAUAGUUUACGGCAUUAGAUUUCACAUCAAAGUUUUUUAGAACUUUAAAUUCUUCCGGCACAUCCUGAU